CGCAGCCGCGGUAAUUCCAGCUCCAAUAGCGUAUAUUAAAGUUGUUGCAGUUAAAAAGCUCGUAGUUGAACUUCGGGGUUCACCCAUUGGUCAGGCUUAAUUGUCUGUACUGGUGAGAUGAAUCUCUACCUUCUGAGGAACUUUCAUGCCAUUUAUUUGGUGUGAUGGGAAAUCAGGACUGUUACUUUGAAAAAUUGGAGUGUUUAAAGCAGGCUAACGUCUGAAUACAUUAGCAUGGAAUAAUGAAAUAGGACGGAUUGAUUCUAUUUCGUUGGUUUCUAGGGUC
rnacentral:misc_RNA from 1 species